rnacentral:rRNA from 1 species
GCAAGUCGAGGGGUAACAGGGAAAAGCUUGCUUUUCCGCUGACGACCGGCGCACGGGUGCGUAACGCGUAUGCAACCUACCUCUUACUGGGGUAUAGCCCAGAGAAAUUUGGAUUAAUCCCCCAUAGUACCAUGAUAUCGCAUGAUAUUUUGGUUAAAGGUUACGGUAAGAGAUGGGCAUGCGUCCCAUUAGUUAGUUGGUGAGGUAACGGCUCACCAAGACAUCGAUAGGUAGGGGCCCUGAGAGGGGGAUC